AUUGAACGCUGGCGGCGUGCCUAAUACAUGCAAGUCGAGCGAAUGGAUUAAGAGCUUGCUCUUAUGAAGUUAGCGGCGGACGGGUGAGUAACACGUGGGUAACCUGCCCAUAAGACUGGGAUAACUCCGGGAAACCGGGGCUAAUACCGGAUAACAUUUUGAACCGCAUGGUUCGAAAUUGAAAGGCGGCUUCGGCUGUCACUUAUGGAUGGACCCGCGUCGCAUUAGCUAGUUGGUGAGGUAACGGCUCACGAAGGCAACGAUGCGUAGCCGACCUGAGAGUGUGAUCGGCCACACUGGGACUGAGACACGGCCCAGAGUGCUACGGGAGGCAGCAGUAGGGAAUGUGCCGAUAUGGGCGAAAUUCUGACGGAGCAACGCCGCGUGAGUGAUGAAGUCUUUCGGGUCGUAAAACUCUGUUGUUAGGGAAGAACAAGUGCUAGUUGAAUAAGCUGGCACCUUGACGGUACCUAACCAGAAAGCCACGGCUAACUACGUGCCAGCCGCCGCGGUAA
rnacentral:rRNA from 1 species